UGAGCGCUAAAACGAUAGCCCUCAUUGCGUGCCAACAUUGCCUACCAAAAACACCGACAUGUCAUUUUGUCCGCCAUCAUAACCUACCAUUACCCUCUGGCUGCAGAGGCGGACUAAGCCCGUCAGAGGCCCGGGGGCGACAUAGCUACAUGAGACCUCCCAGCUUUAAAAACAUUGGCGUAUUUAGGGUUUGCGAUUCGUUGACAGACCUUUGAAGUUUGUUAACCUAUAGUUAAGCCUUUGCUUUAACGUGCCGAGGGAAUAAAGUUCAAAAUAAUUAUGGUGGGAAAUAUAUUCCCACUGCCGUAUAAUAGUAAAGGGUUAAAGUUAGAUGGUGCAACCCAGCGUAACACAGAUAUUUCAAAACCGUAGUUGUCAUCAUCAGUCUGACACACCCGAGGAUUGCCGCAGCAAUUAAAGACAAGACCUUGUGUUUCAGCAGAUAAGUACUUUACAUAAGUAGGUAUGUACUUCUACGAUUCAGUGUCGAUAGACCAACAAAAUGUGCGUGCAAGAUUGCUAAAUAAUAGGAAAAACGUAUUUUGGCACCUGUGCUGUGUCCUCUUCGUUCUAUAGGAUUCUGAAUCCUCCUUCAUGCUACCUGGUUAAUAGGCAACCUAAUCUACCACUCCACGAGCGCGUGUAAAUUAACGAACUCCGUCAAUUACGGACCGGAAGAUGUAUGCAGGCCCCAUAUUCACUCGAUGGACCGCCGAUCUGUUGAAAGUCGCGGGAAGAGCCUGGAUGCGAGCAGCGUCGGAUGGUUGUAGAAACCCUUGAUUACUUUUUUUUCGAGUAAUAGACGUCAAAGCGAACGAACGAAAUUUACAUUUUAGCCCAACCGAACACCAAUCUAAAAAGCCUCUAAAAGCCCUCUAAAGUGACACGCUAAAGUAUCAUUGCCAUACGUUCACAAACGAUAGACUAUGUUUUGUAAUGUAACAUAAGUCAUUAAUGGAUAUGGGACCUCAGGAGUUAGAGUGCCUUUCUUAUCGGCCAGACAUGAAAAGGAAUUUCUCCAGACACUGUGGCAUUAUUGCAAUUGAAGGACAAAUAUGUGGGUGUACAAAUGUAGUAAGUAACAUAACAAGAUUUCAGGGUGUGGUUUAUUAUAGCAGAGCAGAUGUCAUUGAGAUUAUGAUUAAGGAAACUACUGACUAGAUACUGAAAUUGGCUACCACAAGCUUCAGUGACGUAAAGGAAAAGGACCAUUUAGUAGAGGCCAGAUACCUCAAACUUUUUGUCUCGUACGUCAAAUGAUACUUAAAACAUUUCUCCAAGGCCAGAACUUACCAAGAGUUGGCGGAAUUGUACCACCAACACAUUACUUUCUAGAUCUUUAGAAAUAAUCGUAUGGCCGUCAGUGGAUGCAAUGCCAGAUAUCCUUACCUUUUUAAAUGAUGAGUAUAAUCACUCUUGAAGAAAUUCUUCCUAAAACGUGCGCAGUAGUUCUGUGCGUUCAUAUAU